rnacentral:rRNA from 1 species
AUGAACGCUAGCGGGAGGCCUAACACAUGCAAGCCGAGCGGUAUAAUUCUUUCGGGAAUUAGAGAGCGGCGCACGGGUGCGGAACACGUGUGCAACCUGCCUUUAUCUGGGGGAUAGCCUUCCGAAAGGGAGAUUAAUACCCCAUAAUAUAUUGACUGGCAUCAGUUAAUAUUGAAAACUCCGGUGGAUAGAGAUGGGCACGCGCAAGAUUAGAUAGUUGGUGAGGUAACGGCUCACCAAGUCAGUGAUCUUUAGGGGGCCUGAGAGGGUGAUCCCCCACACUGGUACUGAGACACGGACCAGACUCCUACGGGAGGCAGCAGUGAGGAAUAUUGGACAAUGGGUGAGAGCCUGAUCCAGCCAUCCCGCGUGAAGGACGACGGCCCUAUGGGUUGUAAACUUCUUUUGUACAGGGAUAAACCUAGAUACGUGUAUCUAGCUGAAGGUACUGUACGAAUAAGCACCGGCUAACUCCGUGCCAGCCGCCGCGGUAA